ACCACUCGUCCUCUCUUUCGCUCUCUCAGACAGAUCUGACUCUGAACAAGAAAAGCUCUCCCGUUAUUGAAUCUCUUGCGCCAUUGAAACCAGAGGAAGUUAGAUUUAAGUUGCUGGUGUUAGGGUUCAUUUGGAUUUGGGAAUUUACGAGACCUCAACUUCCUUAGUAUUUUGCAGCAGCUUUUGGGGUACUCGUCUUGCUCCUUAAAAGAAGAAAAGUCGUGAUUUCUCCAACACUCGUUCAAAAUCCUUCUCCUGGAAAUCUACAGUCUAGUCAUCUUGCUCUUCAUGUUAAUGAAGAUGAAUCCUAUUGUUCUGCAUUUAUAGCUUCAGGAUGCAAUAUUUACAAGCUUGAGAUUUCAUUAGAAGAUUCUCCAGUUGCCAAGGGAAAUUGACCCUCUUGAUUUAUGUACCUACGAAGCUCAGCUUAUAAUCUCUACAGGACAGUUCUCCACUUUUUGCCUUAGUAAUUUCAUUCGUGCCCAGCUGUUGUGAGGAAGAAGAUUGGAGAUGAGACUGAUCGAGAGACGGGCGUCGAAAGGGAAUUUCUAGUGUUCCUAUUCAUCUUAGCGUUUACUCUACAAAUGGUUGGAAUUACCUAGGUCACAUCUUCACGAAUAACAUGGAUUCAGUCUUAUUAAGGAUUGGGUUGGACAUAAGAUGAACCCAUUUGCAGAACAGGAGGCAAGGGAAAAUCAUCAAAUUGGUAAAUUUCUGCUUUCUUGAUAACAUGGAUUCGAUCUCAACUUACCCCGCAUUGUGGGUAAGGCAACUCUGCAGUAUGGUUCGGAAAUUAAAAAGUUGCCAGGUGAUUUACUUUUGUGUUUUAUGUUCGGUUUAUAGUUUUUUUUUUAUCAGCUUUGCGCUGACUUGGUUAGUUUUUUUGCUGUGUUGCAACGAUACGGAUACGGUAUCGGAUACAAGAUACCAAUACGCUACUAUGAUACACCAACUUGAAAAACUAAAAUACGGCGAUACGGCAUAUCAGCAGUUUAACAUGAAUAUAUUAUAUAUAAGAUAGAAACUUGACAAAAUGCGUACAUGUAUGAUUAACCUCACUGGAUAGAAAAAAUCUGGAUAACAAGGAAGAAAGUCUAGAGCAAGAUCAGUGGACAGAUUUGGAACUAAUAUUUUGUCACUAUAGUUAAAACUUCUCAUAGAAUCUAGUAAAAUACCUAAUUUUCUAAUAUUAAGGUAUUGAGAUCUAAUAUUUAGUCAAAGUUUUCUAACUGAGUUGUAUCUUGAAGUAUUGGAAGUAUUAGUACGCGUAUCCGUGUAAAUACGUAUCGAUACGGCUGAAUUUUUUUUUUUAGGUGUAUCGGUGUAACACAGUUUUUUUGUUUUGAAUGUGGUGCUUAGACGAGGAAUUUGAAACCGAUUCUGAAAAGUCUAAAAGGGGUUCUCUAUAUCGAAGGGUGUAUCUGAAGAGAGGAGAAGAUUGUUGUUGUUCCGGUGAGAAUUAUAAAAUUGAAGUGGUUUUGAUUGAAAAAGAUGUGUCCUAUGAGUGCAGAAGAUCGUGGUGGACUUGUUUGAGAUUUAAAGAAUAAGCUUGAGACUUUGGCUGAAUAGCAUUCUGUUGUUGAUUUACAAAUGGUUGGAUAGCAUUCGUGUUAUGAGAUCUCCCUAUUCUAUUCAUCAAUAGCCCCAUCUGGUGGUAAAAAGCCCUCUUGGGUUUUCAGAGAAGAUACUAGUGUGAUUAUUGGAAGUGUGAGUUAUGUUAGACUUGAAUAUGACCUUUAGAAAGGUGUCGAGUUGCAUUCUGAUCGUCGUUUUGGUUUUCCAGGCUAGUGUUAAUUACUAUUAAGAUGCUCAGUUGUCUUAUUUACGAGCUUUCUGGUAUGUUGUUACUCACUCCAGCUGAUAGUCAUGGAACUGGUAGUUGGAUGAUAUGAAAGCAAAUGACCUGAAAGUAGAAACCUUGUGUCCAUUUUGCUGAUAUGAGAGCUACAGGUACACUUCCUAUUUACGUUUACAAAUAGUUUCUGCUGUUCCUUCACUGAAAUUUGAGAUGAGAAUGCUGUGAAAUAAAUAAAAGGAGUUGGGAUCUUGUUGGAUAUAAUCCUUGCAUUAGUUAAUCAUCAUCGAAAUGGCAGGAGUAUUACUUGAAAAACCUUAGACCUUGAUAUAUUUUGUGCUGAUCACCUUUCCUAGAAUUUGUAAAACUAUACACCAGGGCUGGUCACCUUUCAUUACACCAUCUUGAUUCAUGAAAUUACUUUGUAUCUUGACAGUAUUAAGCUUUUUAGGUCUGGGCAGUAUUAAGAUGCCUUGUUGUUAAGUGUAUGAGCUUGCGUUACAGGUUGUUACAUGUUAUGCAAAUAGAGAUGCUUGCUUCUCAAAUUCGGUACGAGUAUAUAAAAUGAUGUUUAUUAUUCAACUUAAGCCACGUGAUAAAUGACCUGAACUAUAUUUCUUAUGCCUUCUUUAAGUCCUGUAUGGUCUGAACUAUGCACUUCAACGUGUAAUUCCGACUUUGGUUUUCUUUUCAUGUAUCAUGGUGUUCUUCGUCUGGUCAUAAUUCCUUCUAUCAUUUGAUCUUGAAGUUGAAACAUGAUAUUCACAAGGUAAAUAUGAGGAGACUAUUAAGGAGUGCGACAAAGCUCUGGAGUUAAAUCCUGCAUAUAUGAAAGAUCUGAUUAGAGAGUGGAGGCUCACGAAAAGCUUCAACACUUUGAAGGAGCUAUGCUAGACAUGAAGAAAACUGUGGAGUUGGAUCCUUCAAAUAAUCAAGCUAGAAGAUCCAUUCUACGCUUGGAGCCCUUAGCUGCAGAAAAGCGGGAAAAGAUGAAAGAGGAGAUGAUUACUGGAACUGGCAGGUUACAGGCUGGCACAGUCGUACCUUUGAGAUUUAGUGGGGACUUCAGAGUAUAGUGUUGAAUCAGUACCAAGUGUUCAAGGAAGCUACAUUAUUGCAACUCGAGGCCGAAAUGGAAGCCACAUCAGAAGAACCAGUUCACCAGUAGGAGUUUCUUAUAUUCUUCGUAUAUGCAUGUCUCUUCUCUUACUUUUGAAACUAAACUAAGUUAAGAGUAUUGAUUCAAAUCUAGAGGAAAUGUAGUUACAAAUGAUAAGCAUAGUUGUUUCCUUCCCUUUCUUUUGUAAAGUGCGGUUGAUGUUGUUUAAACAUGUAUCACUGGACAUAUCAAUAUUAGAAAUUGAUUGAUUGAUUGAAUCACAA